CAUGAAUUUGGUGGGCAAGGCUCAGCAGCUUACGACGCUUUUAACAGGAGAAAUUGUUAAUCAUUCGGAGUUCGGGUCCUCGUUUCAUCCC
rnacentral:tRNA from 2 species